rnacentral:lncRNA from 1 species
UGAUGGACGAUCGUGCUCUUUGGAAGGAGCCUCAGCGACACCUCUGCAAAGCCUUGCAGUGCACCUGCUGAGAUGAAGCUGGCACCAGGCCACACAUACUGACCUGACCUUUCCCAUCCACAUUCAGUCAGCCCACAGAACAGAGCUGCUGCAGAAGUCCUUUUCCAGCCAGCAUGCCCACAUUGUGGCCUUUGCCACAGAACCAAAGUCUCUGUGGAAAGAACAGUCAUCCUUGUUCAUGCUUUUGGAGAUGCUUCUUAAAUAUCUGUCAAAACCGAAUUGCUCAGGUUGGACGCCUGUGCUAAGCACCAUCAGUACCACAGCCGCUUCCCUCGGAUCCUGGGUGUCUCUCUCCAGGCAGUCCCUUUGCCUGGCUGACAUGCCUGGCAGAGGAUUCCCUGAAGGGAACCUUUUCCUCACAGCUGAUGCUGAGCACCUUACGUUCUGUGUCCAUCAUCGGAUCACCUCCACAGCCCCAUUUUAUACCACUGUUACAAUGAGAAAGAAUGUAGGCAAGGAUGGAAUGAAACGAAUUUAG